GGGCUGCCUUGUUCUAGAGACUAUAUGAAGGGCAAGGAAAAAGCCUCCUGAACCCAGGUGGAAGCCUAAAUGCUAAGGGAUGUUCUGGAUCCUCAUCAUCAGAUAAUCCAGAGAGAAGUGAACUGAUGGCCCCUCAAACCACAAUUGUCUCGUCGCAGAAAGGAAUCGCCUGUGCUGGGUCUUCAGACCUCAGCUCCAUGCCGCUGAGCAGCCCCACCCUGGCUCAACC
rnacentral:lncRNA from 1 species